rnacentral:rRNA from 1 species
GAGUUUGAUCCUGGCUCAGAUUGAACGCUGGCGGCAGGCCUAACACAUGCAAGUCGAGCGGAUGAGUGGAGCUUGCUCCAUGAUUCAGCGGCGGACGGGUGAGUAAUGCCUAGGAAUCUGCCUGGUAGUGGGGGACAACGUUUCGAAAGGAACGCUAAUACCGCAUACGUCCUACGGGAGAAAGUGGGGGAUCUUCGGACCUCACGCUAUCAGAUGAGCCUAGGUCGGAUUAGCUAGUUGGUGAGGUAAAGGCUCACCAAGGCGACGAUCCGUAACUGGUCUGAGAGGAUGAUCAGUCACACUGGAACUGAGACACGGUCCAGACUCCUACGGGAGGCAGCAGUGGGGAAUAUUGGACAAUGGGCGAAAGCCUGAUCCAGCCAUGCCGCGUGUGUGAAGAAGGUCUUCGGAUUGUAAAGCACUUUAAGUUGGGAGGAAGGGCAGUAAGUUAAUACC